rnacentral:rRNA from 1 species
AACGAACGCUGGCGGCAUGCCUAACACAUGCAAGUCGAACGAGACCUUCGGGUCUAGUGGCGCACGGGUGCGUAACGCGUGGGAACCUGCCCUUAGGUUCGGAAUAACUCCCCGAAAGGGGUGCUAAUACCGGAUAAUGUCUUCGGACCAAAGAUUUAUCGCCUUUGGAUGGGCCCGCGUUGGAUUAACUAGUUGGUAGGGUAAAAGCCUACCAAGGCGACGAUCCAUAGCUGGUCUGAGAGGAUGAUCAGCCACACUGGGACUGAGACACGGCCCAGACUCCUACGGGAGGCAGCAGUGGGGAAUAUUGGACAAUGGGCGAAAGCCUGAUCCAGCAAUGCCGCGUGAGUGAUGAAGGCCUUAGGGUUGUAAAGCUCUUUUACCCGAGAUGAUAAUGACAGUACCGGGAGAAUAAGCUCCGGCUAACUCCGUG